GACGUAGGGCGCGAGCGUUGUCCGGAUUUAUUGGGCGUAAAGAGCUCGUAGGCGGCUUGUCGCGUCGGCUGUGAAAACCCGCGGCUCAACUGUGGGCGGGCAGCUGAUACGGGCAGGCUGGAGUUCGGUGAGGGGAGACUGGAAUUCCUGGUGUAGCGGUGAAAUGCGCAGAUAUCAGGAGGAACACCGGUGGCGAAGGCGGGUCUCUGGGCCGAUACUGACGCUGAGGAGCGAAAGCGUGGGGAGCGAACAGG
rnacentral:rRNA from 1 species